GCUAAAUAUUCUUACAGACCGAUAGUGAACAAGUACCGUGAGGGAAAGGUGAAAAGAACCCCGUUGAGGGGAGUGAAAUAGACCUUAAACCGUAUGCUUACAAGGUGUCAGAGCGGUGCCUCACGAUUGUUCGGCACAGGCAAGUUUAAUAAGUUUAAGAAGUCAAAAAAGUUUAAUAAGUUUAAGAAUGCAAAUUCUGAAAACUUAGUAACUUAUAAAACUUAGUAACUUAGCAACUUGUCGGUGAUGAGCGAUAGCGAGGCACCGUCAUGGCGUGCCUAUUGAAGAAUGAGCCAACGAGUUAUUGCAUACUGCGUUUAGCUAAGGGCGCGAGCCCGCAGCUGUAGGGAAACCGAGUUUUAAUAGAGCGAAUGCGUGCCUCACUUUCGUUCAGCACUUGCGAUGCGAAUGAUACGAAUAAACAUGCGAAUAAUACGAAUAGGGUCUUUGAAUCCCAUUCGUUUCAUUCGUAUCCAUUCGUAGAUUAGUAUCGUGUUGAGUGCCGAGCAGAAGCGAGGUACGCAGUAGUAUGCAUUAGACCCGAAGCCAGGUGAGCUACCCAUGAGCAGGGUGAACCAUUCCGAAAGGAAUGGGGAGGCCCGAACCGGUUGGAAGUUCAACCCCAUCGGAUGACUUGUGGGUAGGAGUGAAAAGCUAAUCGAACCUGGUAAUAGCUGGUUCUCUCCGAAAUAUGUUUUGGCAUAGCGUCGUAUGUUCCCUCUGGGGGUAGAGCACUGGAAGGAUUGAACAGGGAGAAAUCUCGUCAAUCCUAUCAAACUCCGAAUACCAGAGACUAAAGUACGGCAGUAAGACCGUGGGGGCUAAGCUUCACUGGUCAAAAGGGAAAGAGCCCAGAUCUCUAGUUAAGGUCCCAAAAUCUACGUUAAGUGCGCUUAAGGAGGUGGAAUUUCAUUGACAAUGAGGAUGUUGGCUUAGAAGCAGCCAUCAUUGAAAGAAAGCGUAACAGCUCACUCAUCGAGAGAUUCCGCGCCGCAAAUAAUCGGGGCUAAACGUAGUACCGAAACUGAGGAUUGUUCGUGCCUCACUUUUGUUCGGCACACAACCAAGUUCAAUAAGUUUAAUAAGUCAAAAAAGUUGAAUAAGUUUUUAAACUUAGCAACUUAUAAAACUUAGUAACUUAACAACUUGCGAGUGACGAGCAGUAGCGAGGUACGAGCAGUGGUAGGAGAGCAUUCCAAUCUGCGAUGAAGGUAAAGGGGUAACCCAUACUGGAGCGUUUGGAAGAGAGAAUGUUGGCACAAGUAACCACAAUGCGGGUGAGAAACCCGCACGCCGUAAGACUAAGGUUUCCUUCGCGAUGGUUAUCAUCGAAGGGUUAGCCGGGCCUAAGGGGAUGACGAAAGUCGGACCCGAUGGACACACAGUUAAUAUUCUGUGGCUUUCGGAUGUUUUCGAAGAAGUGACGGAGGACAAAACAUAAAGCCCAUUAUUGGAUUUGGGUUGCUAGCGAAUUAGAGUGGCGUACGAGGAAAAUCCCGGACGCUGGUUUUAAUACCAUCAUUCGAGCGCGGCAAAAUGCGGGCAUCACAUGGAAUGUGAUGCCCAACAGUUAACAAGUAACAGUUAACUUUUAACCAG
rnacentral:rRNA from 1 species